UAGCAUAAUCAUUAGUUUUUUAAUUGAAAACUCGUAUGAAUGGUUGGACAAAGAAGAAACUGUCUCUUUUGUUAAAAUUGAAUUUAACUUUUAAGUGAAAAGGCUUAAAUUUUCCAAAGGGACGAUAAGACCCUAUAAAGCUUUAUAAGUUUAAGAAUUUCGUAUAUUUUUUAAUAGUAACGAUUUUUGAAAAAUUUAUUUGGUUGGGGCGACAAUAGUAUAAUUAAAGUAACUGCUUUAAAAUAAAACAGAAAUAUCUGAUAAUAAUUAGUUGAUCCUUCAUAGAGAUUUUGAGAUCAAGUUACUUUAGGGAUAACAGCGUUAUUUUUCCUGAGAGUUCUUAUCAAAGGAAAAGUUUGCGACCUC
rnacentral:rRNA from 1 species